rnacentral:lncRNA from 1 species
CAGAACAGGCAGAGGCAGUUCAGGGGUAUUCUGGUUGCCUUACCCAGCUCUGAAGUCUGUCAGCCUCUUCAGAUGUCACUUGCCAUGUGGUAAGGAAGUGUAGUCAGCAGCUGGUGCAGUGGGAAGAAGAGAAAGGAAGUUCCCCAAGACAAAAACAUCUCGGCAGACCGUGAUCAUGGGCUACAUUCUCCGUACCAGCUUCAUAGCUCCAGUGAGAAAAUAAAUUCCUGCAUCCAGGAGAUGUGGAGUAAGAGAUACAGCUGCCCUUGACCAUAUUUCUUACUUCCGAGAAGAUCGUAGCAGUAAUUCAGAAUCUCAUCCAGGAUACCUCAUCACAGGCUGGAGUGCAGUGUCAUGAGCUUGGCUCACUACAGCCUCCAUCUUCUGUGCUUAAGGAUCCUUCCCUCUCAACCUCCAAGGUAGCUGAGACUACAGGCAACAUUCGAAACCCAGGUGCCACUCCUUCAGGAAGGUACCAUCAAGCUCCAAGGACUCAUCCUCUUUCUCCUUCCCCACUACCUAGUCAUUAGAGCGUCAGCAUCCACUUCCUGAAAGGAAGAUGCCUGUUUUUCACAUAUCCCAGAAAGCCUCAUUUUAGGACAGCAUUUAGCAGAGUGUAUUCAGGAUCCCACUAACCUUUUCGGAAGACAUGACUUCCAGAUGAUAUAAGGCAAGAAUAAGAAAUUUCAGUGACAGGGAACAGAAAUCAUAUUUCUGCAUUCAGGAUCAUGUUUUCUUGGCUCCAUCAGGAACUGUGCAGGACUGUGCACUCUGUUGAUACUCACAUGGUGGAAUUAUAUUGCCCUUGGCCAACCCUAAAGCCAUCAAGAUAGCAGCAACUACUCUAUCAUUACUGUACCACCACCUGUAUGGAUCUCGUUGCCCAUAUGAAACUGAGUAAGGAACAAUGUGCAUCACACUCACAGAGAAAGAUGGACAAGUUUGGAAUAAUUCACUGUCGAAGUCUUCUUGAGCUGAGCAGUCAUGUGAGCUUGGAAGAUGAUCCCUCUCCAGCUGAUCCUUCAGCUCAGGCCAUCAUCUACAUCUGGAUUCCUGACCCGGAGAAACUAUGAGUAAUGUGUGCUGCUUUUGAGCCACUAAGCUACAUGCUGCCAUGUAAGAUGUGCCUUACUUCCCCUUUGCCUUCAAUCAUGACUGUAAGUUUCCUGAGGCCUCCCCAGCCAUGCAGAAAUAUGCAAAGCCCAGGACAAAAGGCAGAGAUGCAGAUAAUGUCUCACCCUUCCCAGUACAGUCAGAGGGCACAGUUGGGCUAAGAACUCCACAUAUCCCUUGGACUUACUAUGGCUACAAGCAAGACAAGUCAAAUAAUUAUUACCAAUAUCACAGGAGCAGUUUACAGCCUUAAAGCAUCUAGCUAAAACAGUAUCUGACCUGCUUGACUAUUCAGACAAAAUAUUUAAAUAAUUC